CAGCCGCCGCGGGAAAACGAAGGGGGCUAGCGUAGCUCGGAAUGACUGGGCGUAAAGGGCGCGUAGGCGGCGGCCAAAGUCAGGCGUGAAAUUCCCGGGCUCAACCUGGGGGCUGCGUUUGAUACUUGGUUGCUUGAGUGGGGAAGAGGGUCGUGGAAUUCCCAGUGUAGAGGUGAAAUUCGUAGAUAUUGGGAAGAACACCGGUGGCGAAGGCGGCGACCUGGUCCUUUACUGACGCUGAGGCGCGAAAGCGUGGGGAGCAAACAGGAUUAGAUACCCCCGUAGUCCCUGUCUCUUAUAC
rnacentral:rRNA from 1 species